rnacentral:lncRNA from 1 species
ACUAGAAGUACAAAAAACCAGUCUGAUUUUGCAUUGACGAAAAAAUUAAUAAGAAAAUAGUUCCAAUAAGAAAUAUUUAUUUAUCCAAUGUACAUGUUAAGGUGUAGCUAUAAAGUCUCGAGAGAGACAAGAAGUGGAACAAGUAGUGAAUUGAGAAAAUCUAAGCAAACGAAAUCUGAGGAAUAUUCUUGGUAUAAAUUCUGAGAGGAUCUGUGUAGGAAAUUAGCGAGAGAGAGAAGGCCAGCAGGGGAUAAAACUCGUGCCUUUAAUCAUUCACUAGUCGUAUGUGGUGGAAAAACACAUCAAUCCGUAGAUGCUUCAAUUUUGACUCGUAUUCGUAUAAAGCUAUACCGAAUCUUUCAAAACUUAAAUAGUGUACUUAUGAGUAAAUAAGUGAAUUUUGAAAUAAUUUC